UGGGGAAUAUUGGACAAUGGGCGAAAGCCUGAUCCAGCAAUGCCGCGUGAGUGAUGAAGGCCUUCGGGUUGUAAAGCUCUUUUACCAGGGAUGAUAAUGACAGUACCUGGAGAAUAAGCUCCGGCUAACUCCGUGCCAGCAGCCGCGGUAAUACGGAGGGAGCUAGCGUUGUUCGGAAUUACUGGGCGUAAAGCGCACGUAGGCGGCGACUCAAGUCAGAGGUGAAAGCCCGGGGCUCAACCCCGGAACUGCCUUUGAAACUAGGUCGCUAGAAUCUUGGAGAGGUCAGUGGAAUUCCGAGUGUAGAGGUGAAAUUCGUAGAUAUUCGGAAGAACACCAGUGGCGAAGGCGACUGACUGGACAAGUAUUGACGCUGAGGUGCGAAAGCGUGGGGAGCAAACAGG
rnacentral:rRNA from 1 species